rnacentral:rRNA from 1 species
CAGUAGCCGCGGGAAUACGUAGGUGGCAAGCGUUGUCCGGAAUUAUUGGGCGUAAAGGGCUCGCAGGCGGUUUCUUAAGUCUGAUGUGAAAGCCCCCGGCUCAACCGGGGAGGGUCAUUGGAAACUGGGAAACUUGAGUGCAGAAGAGGAGAGUGGAAUUCCACGUGUAGCGGUGAAAUGCGUAGAGAUGUGGAGGAACACCAGUGGCGAAGGCGACUCUCUAGUCUGUAACUGACGCUGAGGAGCGAAAGCGUGGGGAGCGAACAGGAUUAGAUACCCGCGUAGUCCCUGUCUCUUAUAC